CGGGCUAUAGCGCAGUUGGCUAGCGCGCCACGUUCGGGACGUGGAGGUCGUGGGUUCAAGUCCCACUAGCCCGACCA
rnacentral:tRNA from 2 species